UCUUGGUGUAGGGGUAAAAUCCGUAGAUAUCAAGAAGAAUACCCAUUGCGAAGGCGAUCUGCUGGAACUUAACUGACGCUAAGGCGCGAAAGCGUGGGGAGCAAACAGGAUUAGAUACCCUGGUAGUCCACGCCCUAAACGAUGUAUGCUAGUUGUUGGGAUGCUAGUCAUCUCAGUAAUGCAGCUAACGCAUUAAGCAUACCGCCUGGGGAGUACGGUCGCAAGAUUAAAACUCAAAGGAAUAGACGGGGACCCGCACAAGCGGUGGAGCAUGUGGUUUAAUUCGAAGAUACGCGAAGAACCUUACCUGGGCUUGAUAUCCUAAGAACCUUAUAGAGAUAUGAGGGUGCUAGCUUGCUAGAACUUAGAGACAGGUGCUGCACGGCUGUCGUCAGCUCGUGUCGUGAGAUGUUGGGUUAAGUCCCGCAACGAGCGCAACCCUCGUCCUUAGUUGCUAACGAUUCGGUCGAGCACUCUAAGGAGACUGCCUUCGUAAGGAGGAGGAAGGUGGGGACGACGUCAAGUCAUCAUGGCCCUUACGCCCAGGGCGACACACGUGCUACAAUGGCAUAUACAAUGAGACGCAAUACCGCGAGGUGGAGCAAAUCUAUAAAAUAUGUCCCAGUUCGGAUUGUUCUCUGCAACUCGAGAGCAUGAAGCCGGAAUCGCUAGUAAUCGUGAAUCAGCCAUGUCACGGUGAAUACGUUCCCGGGUCUUGUACUCACCGCCCGUCACACCAUGGGAGUUGAUUUCACUCGAAGUGGAAAUACUAAACUAGUUAUCCCCCACAGUGGAAUCAGCGACUGGGGUGAAGUCGUAACAAGGUAACCGUAGGAGAACCUGCGGUUGGAUCACCUCCUUUCUA
rnacentral:rRNA from 1 species